rnacentral:rRNA from 1 species
AGAGUUGAUCUGGCUCAGAUGAACGCUGGCGGCAGGCUUAACACAUGCAAGUCGAGCGGGGAUAGGGUGCUUGCACCUGAUUCCUAGCGGCGGACGGGUGAGUAAUGCUUAGGAAUCUGCCUAUUAGUGGGGGACAACGUUCCGAAAGGGACGCUAAUACCGCAUACGUCCUACGGGAGAAAGCAGGGGAUCUUCGGACCUUGCGCUAAUAGAUGAGCCUAAGUCGGAUUAGCUAGUUGGUGGGGUAAAGGCCUACCAAGGCGACGAUCUGUAGCGGGUCUGAGAGGAUGAUCCGCCACACUGGGACUGAGACACGGCCCAGACUCCUACGGGAGGCAGCAGUGGGGAAUAUUGGACAAUGGGGGCAACCCUGAUCCAGCCAUGCCGCGUGUUGUGAAGAAGGCCUUUUGGUUGUAAAGCACUUUAAGCGAGGAGGAGGCUUACCUGGUUAAUACCCGGGAUAAGUGGACGUUACUCGCAGAAUAAGCACCGGCUAACUCUGUGCCAGCCGCUGC